rnacentral:rRNA from 1 species
AUUGAACGCUGGCGGCAGGCCUAACACAUGCAAGUCGAAUGGUAACAGGAAACAGCUUGCUGUUUCGCUGACGAGUGGCGGACGUGUGAGUAAUGUCUGGGAAACUGCCUGAUGGAGGGGGAUAACUACUGGAAACGGUAGCUAAUACCGCAUAACGUCGCAAGACCAAAGAGGGGGACCUUCGGGCCUCUUGCCAUCAGAUGUGCCCAGAUGGGAUUAGCUAGUAGGUGGGGUAACGGCUCACCUAGGCGACGAUCCCUAGCUGGUCUGAGAGGAUGACCAGCCACACUGGAACUGAGACACGGUCCAGAAACCUACGGGAGGCAGCAGUGGGGAAUAUUGCACAAUGGGCGAAAGCCUGAUGCAGCCAUGCCGCGUGUAUGAAGAAGGCCUUCGGGUUGUAAAGUACUUUCAGCGGGGAGGAAGGGAGUAAAGUUAAUACCUUUGCUCAUUGACGUAACCCGCAGAAGAAGCACCGGCUAACUCCGU